AUAGGCACAUGCCACCAUAUUCAGCAGGACAUAUACUUUUAAAAGUGUGGGAUCUGCUGUCACCUUGAGGAUGUACUAACUGGGUUGACUUCAUGUAGGGCAUGGGUAGAUCUGAGCAGGGCAAAGUAGACUGCAGGAGAUGUUCGGGAUGCCCCACACCAUGUCAUGCCCUUUGCCACUGUUGAUUUCAGCCAUAGCUGCAGUGGGUAGUUCCAUGCAAACUCACGCUCGAGCCAGUUUUGCUGCAGGGCCUUCUCAGAAGACUUCUCAGCCCAUUUGGCCCAGGAUCAACACAGCCCAGAAGUGCAGGGGCAUUACCACGCCAGGGGCAAUCCUCCAGCAGUGGGAGAUACAAGCCUAUGGAUGAAGGUUCCCACCUCCCAUCACUCAGAUGAGAAACACCAAGAGGCUUCUUGUACCUUUCUCAGAGGCCACAGCAGGAUCAAUCCCCCAUUGCACACAGCAGCCAUCUCAAUAAUGCACCAUUCUAUUAGUGUCUCUCCUUCCCUGUCUCACCCUCCCUGCUCUCUCACUCCUGCCUCCAGGAUUUUCCUCCCACUUAAAGUAACUGCUCCCAAGUCCUGCCCCAUGUUCUACUUUCAGGAGUUCCCAAACUAAGGCAAUAGCUGCACCUGCAAAGAAAGCGACUACUUGUUAAUAUGUGAUAUAAUCCAGAAAAGCAAGAGUCCACCCAAAGUCAGAAGAGAAGAAUUCAGAAGAGUAAGAGCGUCUCCACUUGGUCAUCUCUAACAGACCGGACCCCGCCACUUUGCUAGGAUAUCCCAGAGGAGACCAGAGCAGAAUUCCCUGUGAAGAUAUUGCAAAUGCUGCACCACUUUGACACAGACGAAUAUUGCCUUAAUGCUUUCUCAUUGCAGCUCCAUUCUCAUUCCUCUUGUUCUAAUCUCACUGGGAACAGUAAGAAGCUGCCAUCAUUUUAUGUUAUACUUUUACAUACUUUAAGGUUAUUACUGAUUAAUGAGAAUUAAAGGAAGCUGAGAAUAUA